AGAUUAAGUUAUUAAGGGCGCACGGUGGAUGCCUUGGCACUAGAAGCCGAUGAAGGACGUUACUAACGACGAUAUGCUUUGGGGAGCUGUAAGUAAGCUUUGAUCCAGAGAUUUCCGAAUGGGGAAACCCAGCAUGAGUUAUGUCAUGUUAUCGAUAUGUGAAUACAUAGCAUAUCAGAAGGCACACCCGGAGAACUGAAACAUCUUAGUACCCGGAGGAAGAGAAAGAAAAUUCGAUUCCCUUAGUAGCGGCGAGCGAAACGGGAAGAGCCCAAACCAAAAAGCUUGCUUGUUGGGGUUGUAGGACACUCUAUACGGAGUUACAAAGGACGACAUUAGACGAAUCAUCUGGAAAGAUGAAUCAAAGAAGGUAAUAAUCCUGUAGUCGAAAAUGUUGUCUCUCUUGAGUGGAUCCUGAGUACGACGGAGCACGUGAAAUUCCGUCGGAAUCUGGGAGGACCAUCUCCUAAGGCUAAAUACUCUCUAGUGACCGAUAGUGAACCAGUACCGUGAGGGAAAGGUGAAAAGCACCCCGGAAGGAGAGUGAAAUAGAACCUGAAACCGUGUGCUUACAAGUAGUCAGAGCCCGUUAAUGGGUGAUGGCGUGCCUUUUGUAGAAUGAACCGGCGAGUUACGAUUUGAUGCAAGGUUAAGCAGUAAAUGUGGAGCCGUAGCGAAAGCGAGUCUGAAUAGGGCGUUUAGUAUUUGGUCGUAGACCCGAAACCAGGUGAUCUACCCUUGGUCAGGUUGAAGUUCAGGUAACACUGAAUGGAGGACCGAACCGACUUACGUUGAAAAGUGAGCGGAUGAACUGAGGGUAGCGGAGAAAUUCCAAUCGAACCUGGAGAUAGCUGGUUCUC
rnacentral:rRNA from 1 species